GUUGGGAUAGCUCAGUUGGUAGA
rnacentral:tRNA from 3 species